AAGGCCUUCGGGUCGUAAAGCUCUUUCAGAAGGGACGAAACCGCCCCGGGAUAAUACCCCGGGGCAUUGACGGUACCUUCAGAAGAAGCACCGGCUAACUCUGUGC
rnacentral:rRNA from 1 species